rnacentral:rRNA from 1 species
CCUACGGGAGGCAGCAGUAAGGAAUAUUGGUCAAUGGGCGUAAGCCUGAACCAGCAACGUCGCGUGAGGGAUGAAGGUUCUAUGGAUCUUAAACCUCUUUUAUAAGGGAAUAAAGUGCGGGACGUGUCCCGUUUUGUAUGUACCUUAUGAAUAAGGAUCGGCUAACUCCGUGCCAGCAGCCGCGGUAAUACGGAGGAUCCGAGCGUUAUCCGGAUUUAGUGGGUGUAAAGGGUGCGUAGGCGGCCUUUUAAGUCAGCGGUGAAAGUCUGUGGCUCAACCAUAGAAUUGCCGUUGAAACUGGGAGGCUUGAGUAUGUUUGAGGAAGGCGGAAUGCGUGGUGUAGCGGUGAAAUGCUUAGAUAUCACGCAGAACCCCGAUUGCGAAGGCAGCCUGCCAAGCCAUGACUGACGCUGAUGCACGAAAGCGUGGGGAUCAAACAGGAUUAGAUACCCUAGUAGUC